rnacentral:tRNA from 1 species
UAUUCUUUUAGUAUAAAUCAGUACAGCUGACUUCCAAUUAGCAAGAUUUGGAUAAAUCCCAAAAAAGAAUAA